CUAACUUUAGUUUGCUUACGAGACGACCCUUCAAUCAUGUUGGCUAUACUUUAUUAUCCGUGAUAGAAGAGGAGUUUGGGAACUUUUGAGAACAACAACAGACUGCCCCAUUCUACACUGAAUGUCAUCACUGCUGUCGGCUAGGUCGAGAAUAAUUUCUGAAGGACAAGGCCUGCAGCGUGGUGACAACUGUAAGCUGCUGUAAGAGCUGGAGGAUCAAAUGAAGACUGCAG